AAGGAAGAGCUACAUUGCAGGAUCGUGCAAGAGUCCGUCACAAGCUCAAAGAUAUGGAGAACAAACUCACAACUGAGAGGAUAUUGAGUUCUGAUGAGACAUCUCUAAAGUGGCAUAGAUCCUGUUACAGUUGGUGUACUAAAGUUAA